AUUGAACGCUGGCGGCAGGCUUAACACAUGCAAGUCGAGCGGGGGAAGGUAGCUUGCUACCGGACCUAGCGGCGGACGGGUGAGUAAUGCUUAGGAAUCUGCCUAUUAGUGGGGGACAACAUCUCGAAAGGGAUGCUAAUACCGCAUACGUCCUACGGGAGAAAGCAGGGGAUCUUCGGACCUUGCGCUAAUAGAUGAGCCUAAGUCGGAUUAGCUAGUUGGUGGGGUAAAGGCCUACCAAGGCGACGAUCUGUAGCGGGUCUGAGAGGAUGAGCCGCCACACUGGGACUGAGACACGGCCCAGAUCCCUACGGGAGGCAGCAGUGGGGAAUAUUGGACAAUGGGGGGAACCCUGAUCCAGCCAUGCCGCGUGUGUGAAGAAGGCCUUAUGGUUGUAAAGCACUUUAAGCGAGGAGGAGGCUACUCUAGUUAAUACCUAGGGAUAGUGGACGUUACUCGCAGAAUAGGCACCGGCUAACUCUGUGCCAGCAGCCGCCGUAAAAC
rnacentral:rRNA from 1 species